GUUCGUUCUGCAUCGGAAGAUCAUUUAGUCCAUGUAAAACCUCUCUGGCUUAACCUAGCUUAACCUAUGGAUAUCAGUCAUCCUUUUCCAUAAAAUGAGCUUGGGAAGGGGUGGACUGCAGAGCAACUAGCUUCCUGUGUUGGACUCGGCUCUGAUGAAAAAAGGAGUAGCUCUACUUCUCAUCUUUGUAGUCGUCAAAAUCCUGGUCUUUGAGGAUUCUGGAAAGACUUUCUGUUUGAGUCAGAUUGCAGAGCUGCUGUGUACCAAUCCCGUUGCGUUUGAGGCUAUUGAGAUAAUUCAGCAUAUUCUCGUGUUACUCUUAGUCGAUUUGAAGGCCUCUCUAAGCAUUUAGAUUCGUUCUUGCAAAUGUUAUCUCUCGUGGAACUAAGGUGUUUUCUGUGAUAGUUCCUAGUGCAUAAAUAGACUAGAAAGUACUUAGUCGAUCUGAAGGUCGAGGGUGGUAGUGGGCGACUGAGUUCUUAACUUAAAAGACGAGGGGGACACGGUGGAAAACUGAAGGCAAAAGUCUAUUUAUUGAUUUUUGAGCUUGCUUUGUGAUCUUCUGUUUCUUGGUUGUUGCGCCUCUAUUUUUCCUACUUAUUUAAUUCAUUCUUUGCUGCAUUUUGCAGCUUUAUAAUUGAUCUGUUACAUAUAU